UUGGCGGAGUGGUUAACGCGAUGCCCUGCUAUGGAAUUAUUCCAAGCUGAUCAGGCAUUUCCUUCGGGAGCGUGUGUUCGAAUCACACA
rnacentral:tRNA from 1 species